AGCUCCAAUAGCGUAUAUUAAAGUUGUUGCAGUUAAAAAGCUCGUAGUUGGACCUUGGGGCGUGUGUGCUGGUCGGCCGAAAGGCCUGUUUACUGGUGCGUGCGCUCCUUCUGCCCGGGUUGUGCCUCCCUCGGGGGGUGCUGCUUGGGAGGUUUACUGUGAAAAAAUUAGUGUUCAAAGCAGGCGUUUUGCUUGGAUACAUUAGCAUGGAAUAAUAGAAUAGGACUCGAGUCUUAUUUUGUUGGUUUCUGGGACUUGAGUAAUGAUGAAUAGGGACAGUUGGGGGCAUUAGUAUUUAAUUGUCAGAGGUGAAAUUCUUGGAUUUAUGAAAGACUAACUUUUGCGAAAGCAUUUGCCAAGGAUGUUUUCA
rnacentral:rRNA from 1 species